GACGAACGCUGGCGGCGUGCUUAACACAUGCAAGUCGAACGGAAAGGCCCUGCUUUUGUGGGGUGCUCGAGUGGCGAACGGGUGAGUAACACGUGAGUAACCUGCCCUUGACUUUGGGAUAACUUCAGGAAACUGGGGCUAAUACCGGAUAGGAGCUCCUGCUGCAUGGUGGGGGUUGGAAAGUUUCGGCGGUUGGGGAUGGACUCGCGGCUUAUCAGCUUGUUGGUGGGGUAGUGGCUUACCAAGGCUUUGACGGGUAGCCGGCCUGAGAGGGUGACCGGCCACAUUGGGACUGAGAUACGGCCCAGACUCCUACGGGAGGCAGCAGUGGGGAAUAUUGCACAAUGGGCGGAAGCCUGAUGCAGCAACGCCGCGUGCGGGAUGACGGCCUUCGGGUUGUAAACCGCUUUCGCCUGUGACGAAGCGUGAGUGACGGUAAUGGGUAAAGAAGCACCGGCUAACUACGUGCCAGCAGCCGCGGUGAUACGUAGGGUGCGAGCGUUGUCCGGAUUUAUUGGGCGUAAAGGGCUCGUAGGUGGUUGAUCGCGUCGGAAGUGUAAUCUUGGGGCUUAACCCUGAGCGUGCUUUCGAUACGGGUUGACUUGAGGAAGGUAGGGGAGAAUGGAAUUCCUGGUGGAGCGGUGGAAUGCGCAGAUAUCAGGAGGAACACCAGUGGCGAAGGCGGUUCUCUGGGCCUUUCCUGACGCUGAGGAGCGAAAGCGUGGGGAGCGAACAGGCUUAGAUACCCUGGUAGUCCACGCUGUAAACGGUGGGUACUAGGUGUGGGGUCCAUUCCACGGGGUUCCGUGCCGUAGCUAACGCUUUAAGUACCCCGCCUGGGGAGUACGGCCGCAAGGCUAAAACUCAAAGGAAUUGACGGGGCCCCGCACAAGCGGCGGAGCAUGCGGAUUAAUUCGAUGCAACGCGUAGAACCUUACCUGGGUUUGACAUGGAUCGGGAGUGCUCAGAGAUGGGUGUGCCUCUUUUGGGGUCGGUUCACAGGUGGUGCAUGCCUGUCGUCAGCUCGUGUCGUGAGAUGUUGGGUUAAGUCCCGCAACGAGCGCAACCCUUGUUCACUGUUGCCAGCACGUUAUGGUGGGGACUCAGUGGAGACCGCCGGGGUCAACUCGGAGGAAGGUGGGGAUGACGUCAAGUCAUCAUGCCCCUUAUGUCCAGGGCUUCACGCAUGCUACAAUGGCCGGUACAGAGAGUGGCGAGCCUGUGAGGGUGAGCGAAUCUCGGAAAGCCGGUCUCAGUUCGGAUUGGGGUCUGCAACUCGACCUCAUGAAGUCGGAGUCGCUAGUAAUCGCAGAUCAGCAACGCUGCGGUGAAUAAAUUCCCGGGGCU
rnacentral:rRNA from 1 species